AGAGUUUGAUCCUGGCUCAGAUUGAACGCUGGCGGCAUGCCUAACACAUGCAAGUCGAACGGCAGCGCGGGGAGCUUGCUCCCUGGCGGCGAGUGGCGGACGGGUGAGGAAUGCAUCGGAAUCUGCCCAGUCGUGGGGGAUAACCCGGGGAAACCCGGACUAAUACCGCAUACGACCUUCGGGUGAAAGCGGGGGACCCUUCGGGGCCUCGCGCGAUUGGAUGAGCCGAUGCCGGAUUAGCUUGUUGGCGGGGUAACGGCCCACCAAGGCGACGAUCCGUAGCUGGUCUGAGAGGAUGAUCAGCCACACUGGGACUGAGACACGGCCCAGACUCCUACGGGAGGCAGCAGUGGGGAAUAUUGGACAAUGGGGGCAACCCUGAUCCAGCAAUGCCGCGUGUGUGAAGAAGGCCUUCGGGUUGUAAAGCACUUUUAUCGGGAACGAAACAUUGUCGGCCAAUACCCGGCAAGACUGACGGUACCCGAGGAAUAAGCACCGGCUAACUCCGUGCCAGCCGCCGCGGUAAUUC
rnacentral:rRNA from 1 species